rnacentral:rRNA from 1 species
AUUGAACGCUGGCGGCAUGCCUUACACAUGCAAGUCGAACGGUAACAGGUCUUCGGAUGCUGACGAGUGGCGAACGGGUGAGUAAUACAUCGGAACGUGCCUAGUAGUGGGGGAUAACUACUCGAAAGAGUGGCUAAUACCGCAUGAGAUCUACGGAUGAAAGCAGGGGAUCGCAAAACCUUGUGCUACUAGAGCGGCCGAUGGCAGGUUAGGUAGGUGGUGGGAUAAAAGCUUACCAAGCCGACGAUCUGUAGCUGGUCUGAGAGGACGAUCAGCCACACUGGGACUGAGACACGGCCCAGACUGCUACGGGAGGCAGCAGUGGGGAAUUUUGGACAAUGGGCGAAAGCCUGAUCCAGCAAUGCCGCGUGCAGGAUGAAGGCCUUCGGGUUGUAAACUGCUUUUGUACGGAACGAAAAGCCCCGGGUUAAUACCCUGGGGCCAUGACGGUACCGUAAGAAUAAGCACCGGCUAACUACGUGCCAGCAGCCGCCGUAA